AAUAUCUGUUUAAACCCUGUUUAAUAUACUCGUCCACUCGAUUACUGUAUUAUUCCUAUUCUAUGAAGAUCGGCAUAAUAAUUUUGUCUACUCUUAUAAAGUAGGUGUACGUUCAAUUUAUACUUUUAUUGAAUUAGAAAAUGGUACGUUUCAGCAGCGUACCUGCUUCGAAAGAUCGAUGGGAAAAAAAGUAAGACGAAGUAAGACGACGUUCCCGUGCUCUUCUGGAAGGGUAAUUGCGAGGGGUGGAAGCGAAGCGAAGGGGUGGGUUGAGAAAGGUUCGCAAAGGGGUGAUUCGAUCAGAAGUCUAUAGGAUUAACCGGUAGUUUGCUUAGAACGAGGUCAAGAUCGACUUUUCCCUCGACAUCUUUGCCUCUCAAAACAAACUUAUAACAAAAA
rnacentral:lncRNA from 1 species